rnacentral:rRNA from 1 species
CAAGGCUGAGGCGUGAUGACGAGGCACUACGGUGCUGAAGCAACAAAUGCCCUGCUUCCAGGAAAAGCCUCUAAGCAUCAGGUAACAUCAAAUCGUACCCCAAACCGACACAGGUGGUCAGGUAGAGAAUACCAAGGCGCUUGAGAGAACUCGGGUGAAGGAACUAGGCAAAAUGGUGCCGUAACUUCGGGAGAAGGCACGCUGAUAUGUAGGUGAAGCGACUUGCUCGUGGAGCUGAAAUCAGUCGAAGAUACCAGCUGGCUGCAACUGUUUAUUAAAAACACAGCACUGUGCAAACACGAAAGUGGACGUAUACGGUGUGACGCCUGCCCGGUGCCGGAAGGUUAAUUGAUGGGGUUAGCGGUAACGCGAAGCUCUUGAUCGAAGCCCCGGUAAACGGCGGCCGUAACUAUAACGGUCCUAAGGUAGCGAAAUUCCUUGUCGGGUAAGUUCCGACCUGCACGAAUGGCGUAAUGAUGGCCAGGCUGUCUCCACCCGAGACUCAGUGAAAUUGAACUCGCUGUGAAGAUGCAGUGUACCCGCGGCAAGACGGAAAGACCCCGUGAACCUUUACUAUAGCUUGACACUGAACAUUGAGCCUUGAUGUGUAGGAUAGGUGGGAGGCUUUGAAGUGUGGACGCCAGUCUGCAUGGAGCCGACCUUGAAAUACCACCCUUUAAUGUUUGAUGUUCUAACGUUGGCCCGUAAUCCGGGUUGCGGACAGUGUCUGGUGGGUAGUUUGACUGGGGCGGUCUCCUCCUAAAGAGUAACGGAGGAGCACGAAGGUUGGCUAAUCCUGGUCGGACAUCAGGAGGUUAGUGCAAUGGCAUAAGCCAGCUUGACUGCGAGCGUGACGGCGCGAGCAGGUGCGAAAGCAGGUCAUAGUGAUCCGGUGGUUCUGAAUGGAAGGGCCAUCGCUCAACGGAUAAAAGGUACUCCGGGGAUAACAGGCUGAUACCGCCCAAGAGUUCAUAUCGACGGCGGUGUUUGGCACCUCGAUGUCGGCUCAUCACAUCCUGGGGCUGAAGUAGGUCCCAAGGGUAUGGCUGUUCGCCAUUUAAAGUGGUACGCGAGCUGGGUUUAGAACGUCGUGAGACAGUUCGGUCCCUAUCUGCCGUGGGCGCUGGAGAACUGAGGGGGGCUGCUCCUAGUACGAGAGGACCGGAGUGGACGCAUCACUGGUGUUCGGGUUGUCAUGCCAAUGGCACUGCCCGGUAGCUAAAUGCGGAAGAGAUAAGUGCUGAAAGCAUCUAAGCACGAAACUUGCCCCGAGAUGAGUUCUCCCUGACUCCUUGAGAGUCCUGAAGGAACGUUGAAGACGACGACGUUGAU